GCCAUGGGCAGGUUGAAGGUUGGGUAACACUAACUGGAGGACCGAACCGACUAAUGUUGAAAAAUUAGCGGAUGACUUGUGGCUGGGGGUGAAAGGCCAAUCAAACCGGGAGAUAGCUGGUUCUCCCCGAAAGCUAUUUAGGUAGCGCCUCGUGAAUUCAUCUCCGGGGGUAGAGCACUGUUUCGGCAAGGGGGUCAUCCCGACUUACCAACCCGAUGCAAACUGCGAAUACCGGAGAAUGUUAUCACGGGAGACACACGGCGGGUGCUAACGUCCGUCGUGAAGAGGGAAACAACCCAGACCGCCAGCUAAGGUCCCAAAGUCAUGGUUAAGUGGGAAACGAUGUGGGAAGGCCCAGACAGCCAGGAUGUUGGCUUAGAAGCAGCCAUCAUUUAAAGAAAGCGUAAUAGCUCACUGGUCGAGUCGGCCUGCGCGGAAGAUGUAACGGGGCUAAACCAUGCACCGAAGCUGCGGCAGCGACGCUUAUGCGUUGUUGGGUAGGGGAGCGUUCUGUAAGCCUGUGAAGGUGUGCUGUGAGGCAUGCUGGAGGUAUCAGAAGUGCGAAUGCUGACAUAAGUAACGAUAAAGCGGGUGAAAAGCCCGCUCGCCGGAAGACCAAGGGUUCCUGUCCAACGUUAAUCGGGGCAGGGUGAGUCGACCCCUAAGGCGAGGCCGAAAGGCGUAGUCGAUGGGAAACAGGUUAAUAUUCCUGUACUUGGUGUUACUGCGAAGGGGGGACGGAGAAGGCUAUGUUGGCCGGGCGACGGUUGUCCCGGUUUAAGCGUGUAGGCUGGUUUUCCAGGCAAAUCCGGAAAAUCAAGGCUGAGGCGUGAUGACGAGGCACUACGGUGCUGAAGCAACAAAUGCCCUGCUUCCAGGAAAAGCCUCUAAGCAUCAGGUAACAUCAAAUCGUACCCCAAACCGACACAGGUGGUCAGGUAGAGAAUACCAAGGCGCUUGAGAGAACUCGGGUGAAGGAACUAGGCAAAAUGGUGCCGUAACUUCGGGAGAAGGCACGCUGAUAUGUAGGUGAAGUCCCUCGCGGAUGGAGCUGAAAUCAGUCGAAGAUACCAGCUGGCUGCAACUGUUUAUUAAAAACACAGCACUGUGCAAACACGAAAGUGGACGUAUACGGUGUGACGCCUGCCCGGUGCCGGAAGGUUAAUUGAUGGGGUCAGCGCAAGCGAAGCUCUUGAUCGAAGCCCCGGUAAACGGCGGCCGUAACUAUAACGGUCCUAAGGUAGCGAAAUUCCUUGUCGGGUAAGUUCCGACCUGCACGAAUGGCGUAAUGAUGGCCAGGCUGUCUCCACCCGAGACUCAGUGAAAUUGAACUCGCUGUGAAGAUGCAGUGUACCCGCGGCAAGACGGAAAGACCCCGUGAACCUUUACUAUAGCUUGACACUGAACAUUGAGCCUUGAUGUGUAGGAUAGGUGGGAGGCUUAGAAGUGUGGACGCCAGUCUGCAUGGAGCCGACCUUGAAAUACCACCCUUUAAUGUUUGAUGUUCUAACGUUGACCCGUAAUCCGGGUUGCGGACAGUGUCUGGUGGGUAGUUUGACUGGGGCGGUCUCCUCCUAAAGAGUAACGGAGGAGCACGAAGGUUGGCUAAUCCUGGUCGGACAUCAGGAGGUUAGUGCAAUGGCAUAAGCCAGCUUGACUGCGAGCGUGACGGCGCGAGCAGGUGCGAAAGCAGGUCAUAGUGAUCCGGUGGUUCUGAAUGGAAGGGCCAUCGCUCAACGGAUAAAAGGUACUCCGGGGAUAACAGGCUGAUACCGCCCAAGAGUUCAUAUCGACGGCGGUGUUUGGCACCUCGAUGUCGGCUCAUCACAUCCUGGGGCUGAAGUAGGUCCCAAGGGUAUGGCUGUUCGCCAUUUAAAGUGGUACGCGAGCUGGGUUUAGAACGUCGUGAGACAGUUCGGUCCCUAUCUGCCGUGGGCGCUGGAGAACUGAGGGGGGCUGCUCCUAGUACGAGAGGACCGGAGUGGACGCAUCACUGGUGUUCGGGUUGUCAUGCCAAUGGCACUGCCCGGUAGCUAAAUGCGGAAGAGAUAAGUGCUGAAAGCAUCUAAGCACGAAACUUGCC
rnacentral:rRNA from 1 species